rfam:Peptostreptococcaceae bacterium AS15 ctg120005099201, whole genome shotgun sequence.
UCGUGAUAGAUGGGGAAGUAGCGGAGUCCUGUAACCUGCAAUCCGCUUUAGCAGGAUUGAAUUCCCGUAUUGAGUGUAUUGUUUUGUAAGGCUGGAGAGCAUGGUAGGUGUUGAGAUCGGGGUCUUGUGCAAUGUAGAUUUACGAACCCCGUCAGGUCUUGAUCGAAGCAGCGGUAAGUAAAACCCUGCAUGUGAUACAAGGGUGCCUCGGUUGAGUCUUAAGUGUUAAUACCGCUUGGAAGGCAUAUGCGAAGACGGGUUCACGA